rnacentral:tRNA from 1 species
CCUUCCGCGUGGCCGGGGCGGGCCUGGCUCAUGUCCCGGGUUGCGAGCGAGGUGCGAUCGGCUCGCGGUCGAGCCGUGGGCGGGGGGGC